rnacentral:tRNA from 1 species
CAAAAAGUAGUAUAUAAUUAAAACAUUAAUUUUGGAAAUUAAAAUAAUAUGAAUAAACAUAUCUUUUUGA